UACAGAGGUCUCAAGCGUUGUUCGGAUUCAUUGGGCGUAAAGGGCGCGUAGGCGGCGGGGUAAGUCGGGUGUGAAAUCUCAGGGCUCAACCCUGAAACUGCACUUGAUACUGCUCUGCUUGAGGACUGGAGAGGAGACUGGAAUUCACGGUGUAGCAGUGAAAUGCGUAGAUAUCGUGAGGAAGACCAGUGGCGAAGGCGGGUCUCUGGACAGUUCCUGACGCUGAGGCACGAAGGCCAGGGGAGCAAACGGG
rnacentral:rRNA from 1 species